rnacentral:rRNA from 1 species
UACGUAGGUGGCAAGCGUUGUUCGGAAUUAUUGGGCGUAAAGGGCGCGUAGGCGGUUUGUUAAGUCAGCUGUGAAAGCCCGGGGCUCAACCCCGGAGGGUCAGUUGAUACUGGCAGACUAGAGUACAGAAGAGGUAACUGGAAUUCCCGGUGUAGCGGUGAAAUGCGUAGAUAUCUGGAGGAACACCGGUGGCGAAGGCGGCAUCCUGGACCGACACUGACACUGAGGAGCGAAAGCCAGGGGAGCAAACGGG